rnacentral:rRNA from 1 species
CUAAAGGUUUGAACCUGGCUCAGGAUGAACGCUGGCGGCGUGCUUAACACAUGCAAGUCGAACGAUGAUCCCAGCUUGCUGGGGGAUUAGUGGCGAACGGGUGAGUAACACGUGAGUAACCUGCCCUUAACUCUGGGAUAAGCCUGGGAAACUGGGUCUAAUACCGGAUAUGACUCCUCAUCGCAUGGUGGGGGGUGGAAAGCUUUAUUGUGGUUUUGGAUGGACUCGCGGCCUAUCAGCUUGUUGGUGAGGUAAUGGCUCACCAAGGCGACGACGGGUAGCCGGCCUGAGAGGGUGACCGGCCACACUGGGACUGAGACACGGCCCAGACUCCUACGGGAGGCAGCAGUGGGGAAUAUUGCACAAUGGGCGAAAGCCUGAUGCAGCGACGCCGCGUGAGGGAUGACGGCCUUCGGGUUGUAAACCUCUUUCAGUAGGGAAGAAGCUUAAAGUGACGGUACCUGCAUUAGUAGCGCCGGCUAACUAGCAGCAG